rnacentral:lncRNA from 1 species
UUGGCACAGUACUUGCUUGGCAUCCUUGAAUUCUGGGUUUAAUCCAUGUGUGGUGGUGCAUUGGUAUAAUCCCAGCACUGAGGAGGUAAAAGCAGGAGAAUCAGAAGUUCAUGGUCAUCUUUGCUACUUAGCAACGUUGAGGCUUGUCUGGAAUACAUGAGACUAUGUCUCAAAAUAAAUACCACCCCACUGGUCUGAUUGUAGGUUCUGAUUAUGUUGGUGGGAUGACUGUUGGGCAGAUCAGUCAUGAAAUGAAAGUAGGUAAGUAUAACAAGUUUAUUAAGCUAAAAAUAGCAUUUUACUCUCACAAAUUUGCUUGUGUCUAACAAAAAUUACUUUAAUCAAUGGAUUUACUUAUGUGGGUAUAGAAACAUAAUUUUCCCCACUUUUUCAAAUAAAUGAACUAUGCAGGCUAGUUUCAUGUCAACUUGACACAAGGUAGAGUCAUCAGAGAGGAGGGAAAAUGCCUACAUAAGAUCAGGCUAUAUAUAAGCCUACAGGGCAUUUUAUUAAUUAGUGAUGGAUGGGGGAUAGUGGGUGGUGUGACCCCUGGGCUGGUCCUGGGUUCUAUAAGGAAGCAGGCCGAGCAAGCCAUAAGGAACAAGCCAGUAAGCAGUUCUCUUCCAUGGCUUCUGCUCGGCUCCUGUCUCUAAGUCCCUGUCCUGACUUCCUUUGAUGCUGAGCUGAAUAAACUCUUUGAUUCCCAAGUUCCUUCAGGCCUGGUAUUUUAUCACAGCAGUAGAAAGCCCAACUAAGACAUAAACUCGGAGGUGUGCCUUGUCUAGGAGCACUAGCAUCAGAUUUACUUUAGUAGUAUCACACAUGGCUCAUCUGUGGGAUCAGAGGACAACAUUUGGGAAAUAGGGUUUUUUUUCCUUCCACUAUGGGACCUGGAGACUAAACUUAGGUUGUGAGGUACGACUUUACCUUCUUGCCCUUUUGUCUGCACACACUGUUCUUUUGAACUCUGAUCUUAGUCCUAUCCCGACUGUAUCUUGCUUUUUCUCUUCCUUUUUACUACACAGGUAGACUGGAUAGUCAGCUCGGCCACC